rnacentral:rRNA from 1 species
AGAACGAACGCUGGCGGCGUGCUUAACACAUGCAAGUCGAGUGCGCGUUCUUGUAGCAAUACAGGAAUGGCGCACGGCGCACGGGUGCGUAACACGUGGGUAAUCUGCCCUCCGAUGGGGAAUAACCCCGCGAAAGCGGGGCUAAUUCCGCAUAACAUUCCUUGGACUCCGGUUCGAGGAUUCAAAGGCGUAAGUCGUCGGAGGUGGAGCCCGCGCCCGAUUAGCCAGUUGGUGAGGUAACGGCUCACCAAGGCAAUGAUCGGUA